rnacentral:rRNA from 1 species
UACGUAGGGUGCGAGCGUUGUCCGGAAUUAUUGGGCGUAAAGGGCUCGUAGGCGGUUUGUCGCGUCGGGAGUGAAAACCAGGUGCUUAACACCUGGCUUGCUUUCGAUACGGGCAGACUAGAGGUAUGCAGGGGAGAACGGAAUUCCUGGUGUAGCGGUGAAAUGCGCAGAUAUCAGGAGGAACACCGGUGGCGAAGGCGGUUCUCUGGGCAUGAUCUGACGCUGAGGAGCGAAAGUGUGGGGAGCGAACAGG